CUUUUAAACUGCCCUUGCCACUGGUUGCCUUGGAAACCAAAAGCACCAGUCAGACUGAUCAUAUCAAAACAAACAGCAAACUUGCAAGAACAUAUUGGACAUCUGCCACUGCUGAACGAGAUGGAUCACAAAUGGAAGACAUUGAAGCGGAUGUCAAGAGCAACAAGAGUGACAAAUUUACAGGAGAAUUAUAGUGGCAUCAACAGGAACAAAAUCCACGAUGAGUUUACGAGCAGAGCUGAUGACAGAAAACAUGACGAGCCAUCCCGUUCUGCUGAGGGCAGACUGCAAUUUGGGAGCCUUUCAACUUUUCCUAAACAGGUUACCAAAACUGGAAAGACUUAUAUCCGUGACAGGUGUGAGAAUAAUUUCCUAAGAAAACGCAUUCGA